rnacentral:rRNA from 1 species
CCUACGGGUGGCUGCAGUGGGGAAUAUUGCACAAUGGGCGCAAGCCUGAUGCAGCCAUGCCGCGUGUGUGAAGAAGGCCUUCGGGUUGUAAAGCACUUUCAGCGGGGAGGAAGGCGGUGAGGUUAAUAACCUCAUCGAUUGACGUUACCCGCAGAAGAAGCACCGGCUAACUCCGUGCCAGCAGCCGCGGUAAUACGGAGGGUGCAAGCGUUAAUCGGAAUUACUGGGCGUAAAGCGCACGCAGGCGGUCUGUCAAGUCGGAUGUGAAAUCCCCGGGCUCAACCUGGGAACUUCAUUCGAAACUGGCAGGCUAGAGUCUUGUAGAGGGGGGUAGAAUUCCAGGUGUAGCGGUGAAAUGCGUAGAGAUCUGGAGGAAUACCGGUGGCGAAGGCGGCCCCCUGGACAAAGACUGACGCUCAGGUGCGAAAGCGUGGGGAGCAAACAGGAUUAGAUACCCCGGUAGUC